rnacentral:rRNA from 1 species
GAACGCGAAAGUCCCGCAAGGGAUCAGUAGAGUGGCAAACGGGUGAGUAACGCGUGGGUGACCUGCCUUCGAGCGGGGGAUAACGUUCCGAAAGGGACGCUAAUACCGCAUAACAUCCUGCCUUUUAAGAGGUGGAGAUCAAAGCCUGGGACCGCAAGGCCAGGCACUCGAAGAGGGGCCCGCGUCCGAUUAGCUAGUUGGUGGGGUAAUGGCUCACCAAGGCUCCGAUCGGUAUCCGGCCUGAGAGGGCGGACGGACACACUGGGACUGAGACACGGCCCAGACUCCUACGGGAGGCAGCAGUGGGGAAUUGUUCGCAAUGGGCGCAAGCCUGACGACGCAACGCCGCGUGGAGGAUGAAGAUCUUCGGGUCGUAAACUCCUUUCGAUCGAGACGAACGACCUCUGGAUGAACAGUCCAGNGGGAGUGACGGUACCGAGAGAAGAAGCCCCGGCUAACUCCGUG